ACGCCAGUCUGCGUGGAGCCGACCUUGAAAUACCACCCUUUAAUGUUUGAUGUUCUAACGUGGAUCCGUAAUCCGGGUUGCGGACAGUGUCUGGUGGGUAGUUUGACUGGGGCGGUCUCCUCCUAAAGAGUAACGGAGGAGCACGAAGGUUGGCUAAUCCUGGUCGGACAUCAGGAGGUUAGUGCAAUGGCAUAAGCCAGCUUGACUGCGAGCGUGACGGCGCGAGCAGGUGCGAAAGCAGGUCAUAGUGAUCCGGUGGUUCUGAAUGGAAGGGCCAUCGCUCAACGGAUAAAAGGUACUCCGGGGAUAACAGGCUGAUACCGCCCAAGAGUUCAUAUCGACGGCGGUGUUUGGCACCUCGAUGUCGGCUCAUCACAUCCUGGGGCUGAAGUAGGUCCCAAGGGUAUGGCUGUUCGCCAUUUAAAGUGGUACGCGAGCUGGGUUUAGAACGUCGUGAGACAGUUCGGUCCCUAUCUGCCGUGGGCGCUGGAGAACUGAGGGGGGCUGCUCCUAGUACGAGAGGACCGGAGUGGACGCAUCACUGGUGUUCGGGUUGUCAUGCCAAUGGCACUGCCCGGUAGCUAAAUGCGGAAGAGAUAAGUGCUGAAAGCAUCUAAGCACGAAACUUGCCCCGA
rnacentral:rRNA from 2 species